UGUGUGUGUGUGUGUGUGUGGUUGCGUGUGUGUGUGGUUGCGUGCGCGUGUGUGUGCAGUAGCCUACUGUAUGUACAAUGCAUAGACAUACUGUAUAGCCUAAGCUUCAUUUGGGUCUAUUCAAAUGAACUGAAUAGAUGGUUUGCGACAGGUACCUAUAACACACACUAAAAGAAUCUCCAAGUGUCAUUCAGAACUUAUUUAAUGCAUGCAUAAUAAAAUAAAUAAGAUACAGUGCUGGCCAGAACAUAAUCUUUUAACAACGGCCACAUCCAAUGAAACAAUAUGUUUAGCUGGCAGCAAGCGUUUGUAAGUCAAUGAAACCGAGACCUAUCAGCACCAUGACGUAAUUAAUGUUCACGACAUAAUUCCAGCAGCCGCAGUCGCGCAUACACGCGCAAGAUUUCACGCGCAAAAACCGUUACAACCGUUGCAGCGCGAGCACAGGGACUGAGAGGAACAGCGCACCUAUCUGAGGGACUGAAACAAAUAUGAGCACAGAAGUUAUUCAAUGGACUACUCAAGAUGUGACUGGUUGACUGGAAAAAGUUUCCACAAAUUGAUCCUAAUUUCCUAAUUAUUUCAAGGUUGAUCUCACAGAAAUGCCUACUCUUUUUAAUUGUGUCAUAUGCAGCAAACAAACAUUUUCUAUAAACAGACAUAUUGGCCUUUAUCACCAAAAUAGCCCAAAAUUUGAAUUCACACGUGGAUUAAAUAGUUGUGGCAAAGUAAACAAAAUCUUCAUUUCCUAUAGAUUAGGUUAAAAUGUAUGUUUGCUGCAAUAUAUAAUUCAGAAUGCAAUUUUGUUAAAAUUAUCAUCUUCUACUCCUUUUUUUAGAGAAUGAAAUUGAUGGGGAUACGUUAAUUAACCUAACUGACAAUAUGAGCUAAAUGUUUUCCUGAAAUAAAGGAUCAAGUUAAAUUCAUUAGACUACACAGAAACAAAUAAAGACUGAAAUGCCUACCAAGACACAUCAGUCAUGAGUAUCCAACAAGUUACCAAUUAAACAAGGUGUGAUUAUCCCUUGUCACCAAAUACCAGUUCUUGAGAGACUGGUAAGAGAAUGGAACCACAAGAUUUCAUCAAAAGUCCAACAGAUAACCAGUGCAGAGGUAAAGCAUGUCAGACAAAGUGACACCUUAAUGGACAAUUAUAAUUUUAAAAUGCUUUGUGUUUUUUAUUUUAUAAGACUGAGGAAAACCAAGACAUGUACAGUAUAGAAAGAGGUAAUUGUCACAAACAGACUGAUCUUCAGGAUUCAGUAAAAGCAGCAGUGGCGGCUCGUGACUGCUCAUCCGAGGGGCGCUAAUUCCAAAUAAGUGUUCGGAGUGUCAUGUGUGUUGCUUGCGUUUUCAAAAUAUGUGUUGGUUGUGUCAUGUGAACCAUGUGCAUCACGUGUUUUGUCAAAGUAAGUGCCUGCUGCACACGCGUCAAAACCAUUUAUGAUAAAAGAGACGCUCACGUUCACAAAAUACACACAAGACACUCCCUUAACAGUAAAUUCUGAUUACGCAUGAGAUUAUGCGAGUAUCUGGCAAACGCGAGUGUCUCUUUUAUCAUAAACCCUUUAGACACGUUUGCAGCAGGCACUUAUUUUGACAAGACACGUGAUGCACACAGGAUCUCUCAUAGCGCAGAACACAUAUUUUGAAAAAAGGAACCACACACAUCACGGGCUACAUACAUAUUGUGACGAACUUCGCAUUGAGCGCUCUCAAAAAAAGAAGUCACCGGCCGCCACUGAAAAUCAGUAAAGUUAAUAAUGCAUACAUUUGUGGAAAGUCUGAGCAGGGGAAGAUGAUUACAGCAUUGGGUUGCACUUUGAAAAAGUGAAAACAAGAAUGCUUGAAAAAACACCAAAUAUUAAACUUUUUAGAGGACUGCAUGGCAUAGACAAUGACUGAGAGGACUAAAUCCCUAUCCAGCCCUUAAAGUCCCUUCAGUUCUUGCAUUUGACGUCGAAAGCAUACUUGACACAGCCAUUGAAAGAAACAUGCUGAAGAAUCUAGGCCUGGUGGCACAGAAAGUGAUUAAUGAGUGCCACAGAAGACAUUUUGGAGUGCAUAUCUGUACCGAACUGGAUGAAGCAAAACAAGCCUACAUUGAUUUGGCACACAGAGGUCUCUCAAUGGCUGCUGCUGCUACCAUGUUGCUUCCAUUUCUUUUCAAGGAGAGCCCAAGAUUCCUUUAUGUCAUUAAUCAGGUACCAAAUACACCCAACCCAGUUCUAUAUAUAAAAGGAAGCCCUUUGGGUGCAGAUUCAAUCCUGGAGAUAAUGAUGGAAGGUGAGAAAGUCUUUGAGGUAGAUGAUGUCACUAUAGCGCUUGUGCAGUCUACUUCAUCUUCAGCAUUGAAAAAUUAAUUUUUAAAUUAAUGUAUGUUUAUGUAAAUGCAUAAAGUGGAAAGUAAAUACAUGAUGUGGAUGAAUCAACAUUAUUUUAAAAGAUAUAUUCUAAAUAUCUAUAUAUAUCAAUAUAUUGAAUAUACUGUAAAAAUAUGUCUAUGUAUGUAUGUAAUGAAACAAAACAAAAAUGCCACCUGCAGUUAUUAAAAUGGCCAAUUUCUUGUUUAAAUGAAUGUAUGUUUAUGUAAUGGCAUAGUGUAGAGUGUAAAUACAUGAUGUGGAGGAAUCAACAUUAUUUUUAAUUAUAUUUAAAUUAUACCACUGGGCUGUUGAAUGCUUUAUUCUGAUUGAUUGAGAAAUAUUCCAUGGGUAUGCAUUAUUUUCGAUAACUGCACACCUUACUUGUCAAAUGUCUUAAAAAUAGCCACCAGAGCAAUGUUUGUGGUAAUCGUGAUAUAAGCAGAAUAAUUGACUCUCGAGGUGUAACGGUAACCCGCUUCGCGUCGUGCCACAUUACCACCUUGGGUGUGCAUUAUUUUCUAUAUUCAGUUACAUUCUGUUAAAUGUUGAAUGAAUUUGUUAAUGUUUGUUUAAAUUGCUGUCAUGUUUGCAAUAA